rnacentral:rRNA from 1 species
ACAAAACACUGCACUACCCUCACCACAAUGUUAUUGUUUGAUUUCAGAAGCUAAGCAGGGUCAAGUCUGGUUACUACUUGGAUGGGAGGCCAUCAGGGAAUGGCAGGGGUGCUAAGCU